GAUGANCCUAAGUCGGAUUAGCUAGAUGGUGGGGUGAAGGCCUACCAUGGCGACGAUCUGUAGCUGGUCUGAGAGGAUGAUCAGCCACACCGGGACUGAGACACGGCCCGGACUCCUACGGGAGGCAGCAGUGGGGAAUAUUGGACAAUGGGGGCAACCCUGAUCCAGCCAUGCCGCGUGUGUGAAGAAGGCCUUUUGGUUGUAAAGCACUUUAAGCAGUGAAGAAGACUCCGUGGUUAAUACCCACGGACGAUGACAUUAGCUGCAGAAUAAGCACCGGCUAACUCUGUGCCAGCAGCCGCGGUAAUACAGAGGGUGCAAGCGUUAAUCGGAAUUACUGGGCGUAAAGCGAGCGUAGGUGGCUUGAUAAGUCAGAUGUGAAAUCCCCGGGCUUAACCUGGGAACUGCAUCUGAUACUGUUAAGCUAGAGUAGGUGAGAGGGAAGUAGAAUNUCAGGUGUAGCGGUGAAAUGCGUAGAGAUCUGAAGGAAUACCGAUGGCGAAGGCAGCUUCCUGGCAUCAUACUGACACUGAGGCUCGAAAGCGUGGGUAGCAAACAGGAUUAGAUACCCUGGUAGUCCACGCCGUAAACGAUGUCUACUAGUCGUUGGGUCCCUUGAGGACUUAGUGACGCAGCUAACGCAAUAAGUAGACCGCCUGGGGAGUACGGCCGCAAGGUUAAAACUCAAAUGAAUUGACGGGGGCCCGCACAAGCGGUGGAGCAUGUGGUUUAAUUCGAUGCAACGCGAAGAACCUUACCUGGUCUUGACAUAUCUAGAAUCCUGCAGAGAUGCGGGAGUGCCUUCGGGAAUUAGAAUACAGGUGCUGCAUGGCUGUCGUCAGCUCGUGUCGUGAGAUGUUGGGUUAAGUCCCGCAACGAGCGCAACCCUUGUCCUUAGUUACCAGCGGGUUAAGCCGGGAACUCUAAGGAUACUGCCAGUGACAAACUGGAGGAAGGCGGGGACGACGUCAAGUCAUCAUGGCCCUUACGACCAGGGCUACACACGUGCUACAAUGGUAGGUACAGAGGGCAGCUACACAGCGAUGUGAUGCGAAUCUCAAAAAGCCUAUCGUAGUCCAGAUUGGAGUCUGCAACUCGACUCCAUGAAGUAGGAAUCGCUAGAAUCGCGAUCAGAAGCCG
rnacentral:rRNA from 1 species